UUGCAUUCUUUUUUGGGAGAAGUCUCUUGCAGUGGCCACCAUCAUGCAUGCUGCUUUGGGUUUUCAAAUUUGAACUGGUUCUUGAGGCUGGAACUGGAGCUAUAAGGCUGUGAACUAGACCUCUUUUACAUGCAGGGUGCAUGGUACUCUUGGAAUGGGAGCGGAAGAAGUUGGAGUGGAUGGGCAGAUGAAAAUUUCAACAAAUCCUUAAAAUUUGGGCUCGUCAUUCCAGGCAAUGAUGGGUCACCUUAUUUUGAUGUUCAUUCCUUUCUUAUGUUGUAUAGUUUGUUUUCAUAUUCAUAUGAAAAUAUAUGUUUAUAGCUUAGUCAACUAUUCCCACAACUUGUGUGGGACACCUUAUGACUACUCUUCUUAAUGGUUCAAUAAUUUAGACCUUGAAAUCA